AUAGCGUAUAUUAAAGUUGCUGCAGUUAAAAAGCUCGUAGUUGGAUUUCUGGCUUGAAACAUUUUGCCGGCCACGGUUUCGUGUGUUAGUGCUUGAUGUUCUGGCCAUCCUUCCAAUCGCUAUCGGCUUAUCUUCAUUGAUCGGUCGGUGGUAUUGGAUCUUUUACUUUGAAAAAAUUAGAGUGUUUCAAGCAGGCUUUAUGCUAUGAAUACAUUAGCAUGGAAUAAUAAUUUAGGACUUCGGUUCUAUUUUGUUGGUUUCUAGGACUGAAGUAAUGAUUGAUAGGGAUAGUUGGGGGUGCUAGUAUUCAGCGGCCAGAGGUGAAAUUCUCGGAUUCGCUGAAGACUAACUUAUG
rnacentral:rRNA from 1 species